UAACUAAUGGAGCUAGAACUGAUGUUGUGGAUAAAGAUGGUGAAACUCUACUACAUUGUGCCAGUGAAUCUAAUGAAGUUGAAAUGCUUGAGUUUUGGAUUAAGAGAGGAGACUAUGAUGUGAAUGUUACAAAUAAAAGAAAUAGAACUCCAUUGUUUAAUGCUCUUGAUAAGUAUAGAUGUAGUAUUGAAGCUGUUGAUAUUUUAUUGAAUAAUGGAGCUAGAACUGAUGUUGUGG